rnacentral:lncRNA from 1 species
CUCUAACCUUACUGAUCCGGGCUUAAGAAUGAUGUUGCAAGCCGCACACGCAUCCGGCCUCUAGGAGUCAUCCACACGAGCCCACGAAUCUCGAUCAGAAGUCCUGCUUCAGGAAAUCAGUACAGUAUGCUAGUACUGCGCUGAUCCUUCUUUGAUGGUUGAUCAGGUGCCUCCUUCUUCUUGAUUUGGACUCUUCCAAAGAUGAAAAGUAGAAGGAGGAGUUUCAGAUCUGAGACACUCUCAGAAAACUCAAGAUGGAGGGAGGAAAGAUAUGAAAACAAAAACCCAAGAAGAAGAUCCUUUUCUUCUUCAC